rnacentral:rRNA from 1 species
UACGAAGGGGGCAAGCGUUGUUCGGAAUUACUGGGCGUAAAGGGUACGUAGGCGGUUUAGUUAGUCAGAUGUGAAAGCCCAGGGCUCAACCUUGGAACUGCAUUUGAUACUGCUAGACUUGAAUCCGAGAGAGGACAGUGGAAUUUCUAGUGUAGAGGUGAUAUUCGUAGAUAUUAGAAGGAACACCAGAGGCGAAGGCGACUGUCUGGAUCGGUAUUGACGCUGAGGUACGAAAGCGUGGGUAGCAAACAGG